AGCAGUAUGGUGCAACCCUGCACACAGGAUGUUACUGAGCUGUGUGUGUGACACCAAUGUAUUCCUGAGGUCCUUGUUCGAAUCAAGGUGCUGCUC